UGCUUAUUGUGUUAACUGCGGCACAGAAGGGGUCGAUACCUCUACACCUAGCACUCAUCGUUUACAGCGUGGACUACCAGGGUAUCUAAUCCUGUUUGCUCCCCACGCUUUCGCGCCUCAGCGUCAGUUACAGUCCAGAAAGUCGCCUUCGCCACUGGUGUUCCUCCUAAUAUCUACGCAUUUCACCGCUACACUAGGAAUUCCACUUUCCUCUCCUGUCCUCAAGAUAUCCAGUUUCCGAUGCACUCUCAGGGUUGAGCCCUGAUCUUUCACACCGGACUUAAAUAUCCGCCUACGCGCCCUUUACGCCCAAUAAUUCCGGACAACGCUUGCCCCCUAC
rnacentral:rRNA from 1 species